rnacentral:rRNA from 1 species
UUCCGGUUGAUCCCGCCGGACCUGACUGCUAUCGGAUUGAUACUAAGCCAUGCGAGUCAUUGUAGCAAUACAAGGCAUACGGCUCAGUAACGCGUAGUCAACCUAACCUAUGGACGGGAAUAACCUCGGGAAACUGAGAAUAAUGCCCGAUAGAACAUUAUGCCUGGAAUGGUUUAUGUUCCAAAUGAUUUAUCGCCGUAGGAUGGGACUGCGGCCUAUCAGUUUGUUGGUGAGGUAAUGGCCCACCAAGACUAUUACAGGUACGGGCUCUGAGAGGAGUAGCCCGGAGAUGGGUACUGAGACACGGACCCAGGCCCUAUGGGGCGCAGCAGGCGAGAAAACUUUGCAAUGUGCGAAAGCACGACAAGGUUAAUCCGAGUGGUUUCUGCUAAAGAAACCUUUUGUCAGUCCUAGAAACACUGAUGAAUAAGGGGUGGGCAAGUUCUGGUGUCAGCCGCCGCGGUAAAACCAGCACCUCAAGUGGUCAGGAUGAUUAUUAGGCCUAAAGCAUCCGUAGCCGGCUCUGUAAGUUUUCGGUUAAAUCUGUACGCUCAACGUACAGGCUGCCGGGAAUACUGCAGAACUAGGGAGUGGGAGAGGUAGACGGUACUCGGUAGGAAGAGGUAAAAUCCUUUGAUCUAUUGAUGACCACCUGUGGCGAAGGCGGUCU